rnacentral:rRNA from 1 species
GACGAACCACACGAACGUUAUUCGGAAUUACUGGGCUUAAAGGGUGCGUAGGCUGUGCGGAAAGUUGGGUGUGAAAUACCUUAGCUUAACUAAGGAACUGCGCUCAAAACUACCGUGCUUGAGGGAGACAGGGGUAAGCGGAACUUAGGGUGGAGCGGUGAAAUGCGUUGAUAUCCUAAGGAACACCGGUGGCGAAAGCGGCUUACUGGGUCUCUUCUGACGCUGAGGCACGAAAGCUAGGGUAGCGAACGGG